ACAUGGGGUUAAGGUGACAGGAUUCAUGGUGAUCUGUUAUAGGUGGCCCAGGCCUAUCCUUCCCACCUUGUCCUUUCUCCCGGAGACCACACACGUAGCAUGAGGCAGACAAAUGAAGGAAGGCAAAGCAACCACUUGCACAUAUUCCUAGUACAUUAGCUCCUGAAAAUCCUGUCGAGGUUAGUGGUUCCGGGUUCUUGUGCUCACGCAUGACAGUUUUCACCAUUCACAGCAAAAUGAGAAAUAGAAGGACCAGAUGAGAUGCCUAUAUAUACGAUCAGUAGAAAGUUGCCAACUCUCCUUUUAGAAAACUAUCCUUUUGUGAAUUUUUGUUCAGAGGUUAUUGAUUCUUGCCUUUUGUUGUUAAGAUGCCCUCUGUUUAUGAAAUGAUUUAUGAAAUGAGGUGAUAGGGUUUUUUAUGUCCUUCCUUAGCCAAAUAAAGAGGCAGCAACCCUUUUGUGUGUUCCCUCACUAUAUUGUUUUGGAGGUUUUCCUGCUUUUUGGGUAAUCUGAUAGGGAUUGACUUAAAUCUGUAGAUUGCUUUGGGUGGUAUUGCCAUUUUAACAGGAUUGAUGCUGGAAGUUUUCCUGCUCUUGAUUCAGUCUGAGAACCUCUGCCUUUAAGUCACUUUGAGGUGGCUUUUGCUGCCUCAGAUGCUGUUCUGUUCAUCCUGCCCGUGCCAGAAGGUUUGAAAAUCUUCAAAAUAAGAUGAAAACUUUUCUAAAGAGAGGCAGGUGUGAGAUCAGAAAACCCAAGAGCUGAUGCCUGGGUAUGACCUCAGGCAAGUCAUCUAGUCUCUACAUCUUGGUUUCUCACCUAUAACAUGGCAAUGAAAAUUCCUGUGAUGAAUAAUGAUUUUUGUGGGGUUCAAGUGAAAUCACUCUAAGGUAUAAAGGAUUUUUAAAAAUUUUAUAUUGCUAGAGUUGGAAGAGAUUCAGUUCUAAAUUUUCUUUUUAAAAAUGUAUAUUUAUUUGGCUGCUUUGGGUCUUGUUUGCAGUGCACAGGAUCUUUAGUUGUGGCAUAUGGGAUCUAGUUCCCUGACCAGGGAUCAAACCCAGACACCUUGCACUGGGAGCAUGGAGUCUUAGCCACUGGACCAUCAAGGAAGUCCCCUAAAUUUUACAGUGCAGAAAAGUAAGAUGCCAAAGGACCCCAGGUGGAAGAGCUGAUCAGUGAUAGAGCUAAGAUUUGUUGAAUUUAAGUCUUUGAGCACUAAUGAAAGAAUCAUUAUUAAUACAAGUGUUAAUGAGGCAUUAUGUAUUUCAGACUGUUUACUGAAUGAACAAAAGCAGUGUGUGUUUAUGAAAAUAGAGGCAAGUUUUUUUUUAUUGUCUUUGGUCAUUUAACAAAUCUUUGGAAAUUUAUUCUAUGUGUUCUCUGAUUUUAUAUUUCUUUUUGUCCUUUCCAGCCGCUCUACUUUUGAAAUAAAGACAACA